AAAAGUGAUCCACGGACUCGAAGGCCAUCUCGACUACUCGUUUUCAUCAGCAUGGCACCCAAACGGUCAAAUCUUAGCCACGGGUAACCAAGACACAACCUGUAGACUAUGGGACGUAAGGAACCUGUCUCAAUCACUCAAAGUCUUGAAAGGAAACAUGGGAGCUAUCAGAGCCUUGAGGUUCACGUCUGAUGGACGGUUCUUAGCCAUGGCUGAGCCAGCGG
rnacentral:lncRNA from 1 species